UACGUAGGGUGCAAGCGUUAAUCGGAAUUACUGGGCGUAAAGCGUGCGCAGGCGGUUAUGUAAGACAGUUGUGAAAUCCCCGGGCUCAACCCUGGGAAUUGCAUCUGUGACUGCAUAGCUAGAGUACGGUAGAGGGGAUGGAAUUCCGCGUGUAGGCAGUGAAAUGCGUAGAUAUGACGGAGGAACACCGAUGGCGAAGGCAAUCCCCUGGACCUGUACUGACGCUCAUGCACGAAAGCGUGGGAGCAAACAGG
rnacentral:rRNA from 1 species